AGCUUUGCACAGUGGCAGUGUCGUAGCCAAUGAGGUUUAUCUGAGGCACGAUUGUUGCUAAUUGAAAAUUCUCCCCCCCCCCCAGAUAUUUAAAUUUAUUUUGAGAGAGAGAGUGCACACAAGCA
rnacentral:snRNA from 1 species